AGAAGGUAAAGGAGAGAGAGGAAAAUGGAAGGAGAGGGAAAAGCUAGAAGAAAGGAGAACGAGCAGUGUGCGUGCUGAUUUCCCAGAUCCCGCUUCUCGGCGAGCCGGCGCCAAGCGGCGGCGACCCUGAGUGACUCGAAAGCGCCAGGGACGGCCCCGAGCCCGGCUCCCAGUCUGGUCUCGGCCUCCGGCGCUCGCUCCCUGCGACUCGCUCUCCCCCUCUCUCCCUCUCAGCCAGCCAGCCAGCCGGGCUCCCGCGCCCCCUCCCCCUGCCGUCGCCCUCCCCCCCACCUCCCGCGAGCAGGAAACGCGUGGCCCCGCGGAGGGCGACCAGGUGGGGGAGGCCGUGCUGGGGGAGGGGGGCUUGCAGCCCGCAGCAGUCUACCUAACCGCUGCCGCGGACGCUAGUGACGCGCUCUGGGCCCAGCCUGCUCCCCGGAUUCCUAGGCUGGGGGUCAUCUAAGACCAGGGGACCCGCAAAACAACCGGCGUCUGCGAGCCUCCCUGGGGCUCCCGAAAGAAAUCCUGUUUGGCUUCCUCUGUCUAUGCAGCUCCCCUCUCAACUGAAACCACUGGUCCAAGACAGCCACAAUCCAGAUAUACUAGCAAGUCAUAAAACUGAACAAAAGCCGACAAACCUUACGGCACCAGGGCUAUAGGGCCCAGACAAAUUACGACCGUCUAGGUAAUAUUUAAAUAGAUGCCUAAAGUAAUUGCAGGGGGCGCGGGCUAGUCCUCCUGUUGUAAAAGUUGUGAACGGGAUAAAGUGGAAGGUGAAGAUAAGAAGUAAAAAAAAGAGGUUUGACCCUUUUAUGCAUGUAACUUCACAGUAUAAAGGAAACCCAAACAAUGUCUCCCUUCUCUAGUCUAUUCCGCUUGCCCAGCCCUCCUCGGAUUCUGUGAAUUUUAGGAAGGAAAACAUAAAAGAGAAAGAAGAAAAAAGAAAAUGAGAAAGAAAACUCUCCACAAGAUAGGGAGAAUUGUGGUGUGCUUGUCGUGUUACCAGUGGUAACAAUUAUUUAAUGACCAAAAAACCCCCACUAAAUCUGAACGCAUAAACAAAACUAUAUUAGAUUAUUUAUCUACAGCCAGAAGGAUAUGAAAAUUCAGAGGUAAGUGAAAUAAUUUAGUCCCACAAUGCAAGACCCUACACAAACUGGAAGAGAAGUUUCCUUCUCUUGGUCAUUCUUUCUUUUUUUCCCCUCCCUUUUAAAGCUGGGAUAUCUUACAGAGGAAGGAAAGAUUACUCGUUAUGACUCUCAAUUUUCUAAUCAGCCAAAGCCAAGCCCUUUUGCCAGCCUGCACGUCCAUGCUUGCAAGCCCUUCUUUUUGCCAAGGAAGAAAGAAAGAAAGAAAAAAGAAACCCAGGGGCCUAUGUCCCCUGAUUAAACACAGCCCAGCACUCCAGGCAGGAGAGCCCGGUGGCGGCUCCUUGCACCAUUGACCUCAGGCCAGACACCUCAGCGCCUUCAAUGGGACCUCGGCCUUCCGGCUAGGUUUGCCCGCCCCCGCAGGAAACCAGCUCCACCGGGAGGACAGGAGCCAUUUCCAGCAGAGGAACCCCGAGACAGCAAACCAGCCCAGUCACCACUCAACACUUGAGGAUAAUAUUUCUCUCUAUAGAAAUGCAGCACGAUAUGGCUUUUUCCCCCAGAAAACAAGUAAACCAGCACCAAGCAAACAGACAAAGAAACAAAAAGUCAGAACAAACCAGCCCUGCACAGAUGUGACGGCCAGCGAGAUGGCGAGUGUGGGAGGGAGGAGUGGGACUCCGGCACAGGUGCGAGUUCCUGGGCAGAGGCCGAAGACAGAGGGAGGAGAACGGCUCUCUGGCAGCGGGAAAAAUCGGCGUUGCCUGGAGCUUCAUCAGGAAAAAUUAAAAUUGGCUGUGAGCUCCCGGA